UACGGAGGGUGCUAGCGUUGUUCGGAAUCACUGGGCAUAAAGGGCGCGUAGGCGGCUUUUCAAGUCAGGGGUGAAAUCCGGCAGCUUAACUGUCGAAGUGCCCUUGAUACUGAGGAGCUCGAGGGAGGUAGGGGUGUGUGGAACUUCCGGUGGAGCGGUGAAAUGCGUUGAUAUCUACAGGAACUCCGGUGGCGAAAGCGGCGUGCUGGACCUUUUCUGACGCUGAGGCGACGAAAGGCUAGGGGGAGCAAACGGG
rnacentral:rRNA from 1 species